GACGAACGCUGGCGGCGUGCCUAAUACAUGCAAGUCGAGCGAAGUUUUUCUGGUGCUUGCACUAGAAAAACUUAGCGGCGAACGGGUGAGUAACACGUAAAGAACCUGCCUCAUAGACUGGGACAACUAUUGGAAACGAUAGCUAAUACCGGAUAACAGCAUUAACUGCAUGGUUGAUGUUUAAAAGUUGGUUAUGCUAACACUAUGAGAUGGCUCUGCGGUGCAUUAGCUAGUUGGUGGGGUAAAGGCCCACCAAGGCGACGAUGCAUAGCCGACCUGAGAGGGUGAUCGGCCACACUGGGACUGAGACACGGCCCAGACUCCUACGGGAGGCAGCAGUAGGGAAUCUUCCGCAAUGGGCGAAAGCCUGACGGAGCAACGCCGCGUGAGUGAAGAAGGAUUUCGGUUCGUAAAGCUCUGUUGUUAGGGAAGAAUGGAUAUGUAGUAACUAUACAUGUAAGAGACGGUACCUAACCAGAAAGCCACGGCUAACUACGUGCCAGCAGCCGCGGUAAUACGUAGGUGGCAAGCGUUGUCCGGAAUUAUUGGGCGUAAAGCGCGCGCAGGUGGUUUAAUAAGUCUGAUGUGAAAGCCCACGGCUCAACCGUGGAGGGUCAUUGGAAACUGUUAAACUUGAGUGCAGGAGAGAAAAGUGGAAUUCCUAGUGUAGCGGUGAAAUGCGUAGAGAUUAGGAGGAACACCAGUGGCGAAGGCGGCUUUUUGGCCUGUAACUGACACUGAGGCGCGAAAGCGUGGGGAGCAAACAGG
rnacentral:rRNA from 1 species